UCAGGUGCCAAGGGGAUGCUUUGGUUCUAGCAGACAGUGACAAAGCAGUAAGUAGCUCGUUAACUUAGGUAUUCUGUAGGGACUGGGAAGAGAAAAACAUCUUUACAGAAUAUGUACAUUGCUGUAGACUUAGAAGUGAAAUGACCGUGUGCGUGUACACGUCCUUUUGACUGACUAAACCAGUGGCCUAGGAUUAAGGUGAUGAGGGACCUGCUGACUGUGGGACUCUUGGAGUUGAUGAACUGUGGAGCUUUCUUUAAAGGAGGAUGGCCUGAGACCUGUGGCCCCUGAAAGCUAAGUUGAGGGAUGGGUGCUGGGGGGGGACAAAGUUGGGAAUUGCAGGGAGGGGUUUUAAAGUGAAGAGCUGGGGAGAGGGCUGUCUGGGAACUGUCCCUUUGGGCAGGUAAAGGCAGUGGGUUACUCUUUGGCAUGAUGUCAGCGUGUGCCAGGCAGGGCAGCUCCAGCCUGCGUGUGUCAUGGUGUAGUUUGUGUGGUCGGUUUUCUUUUGUGUCUCAAACCCUCCUUGGGUCCCAGUCUCCUCUUUGUGCUCCAGGAGCACAGCACUCGCCUUGCAGCCCAUCCUUAGGUCUUGAGCAUCAUCUGUGCUCGCCCUUGUAGUGCCCGUGGGGCGCUGCUUUUCUUACCUGAACUCAAAAGCCCCGCUGGGCCUCGCGACUCGGGUGUCUCCUCUUGAUCCUCUUUUUGCGCCGGUGUUGCGGUCGGUGUCGUCAGCCCUGCUCUGGAGGCUUCUCUUUCACAGGGAGAAUCUCUUUUUUUCUGGGCAUUUUUCCCUGUGUCCUUGCAUUCUUGGGUCUUGCCAAGGCUUCUCGUGCAUCCUUGUGUUUUGGUUCUGACUGUAGCUUCUUGUCAUGGUUUGCAAUGUUUGACCUUUCUCUGGGGCUGCCUUAUGGGCUCCUUACUGCUGAAAUCACAAGUGAAUUGAGUAUAGGAAUAUUGGGACUAAUGUGUUAAUCAAAGGGAUAUCAGUUCAAAUUGCAUGCCUGUUAAAGACUUGUGCAAACUGACCACUGCUUGACCUAAGUGACUUGACUUUGGACUGGACUCGUGACUUGACUUAGCCUAUCUGGAGUGAUGAGGCCUUAGGCUGCGAUUCUAAUUAAUCUUUAGCUGAACUCCUGUGAUGAGCCUUAGUUAGACCUUGACUCUACCAGCUGUAAUAAUAUGGAAACAAGAUGUGGGCAAGGUAAAUACUCAAGACGAUCUUCUGAACUGCGAAGAUGCAUUGACUGAAAGUUAAGUGGGAGCAAUUGGACAAAAUCAGAAUGUGGAAGAUUUUUCCAGUUGAGAAACAAGUGGAAGAGAACAAGAUUGGAAGCACCCAGCUUGAGCUGCAGUAAACUGGUUCUGUGGCAGAACUGAGGGUCUGAGCUUCUCUCUCAGGUUGGAGGUGAAGACUGGAUCCAGCUGCACCUAGGCUCUGCCCUGAGAAGAAGCUGAGAAACCAAGGAGGUCCUGUCUGAAGCUCACAACUCAAAAGGAGGGACUUUUGGGACUCCUCACCUGGUGGCAUCUGCAUUGGAGGAGGAGUUUUUUUCUUGCUGAGGGUUUCCUCUUGUGGUUGUGUCACAUCCUUUGUGUUUGUGUGUUGUGUCUCUGUGCUGUUGGGUUGGAGCUGCUCUCUCUGGAGGCUGUAGCAGCUGUGGGGUUGGGAGAAGACUAGCAAGGAGAGCCUGUGGUUCAUGUUGCUGUGCUGUCUGUGACUGUUGGGGUGCAGAUGGAGCAUUUGAAGUGAAGUAGCAGCCCUCAGCAGGGGAGGGUGGUCAUUUUCCUAGUGUUUUUGAGAGGGGGUGGCUGGAGCCACCUGGGAGAGGCUGCUGGAGCCAUAGCCAAGCAAGUUGGGUGCCCAGGUUGUUAAGGCCUGAAUGUGUGGGGCGUAAUGUUAACUUGUUUUUUAGCUUCCCUGUAGGUAGUCAGGAUCUAGAAGAUGUUCCUAAAUGGGAAUCUCUGGAAUUGCAUCCAGCUGAUUGCUUGUUACUGCUUUUUCAGAUGCAGGGAGGGGACUCACGCAGCAGAGGGUGAUGGAGGAGAGGAGCAGAGCGCGGUGAGGAGCUGGGUCGGUGCGUAUUGAAAAGCCUGGGUGCAAAGCACCGAGGGAAGCGGGAGAUCUGCACUGGAGGUGACUCGAGCAAGGCAGCACAUAGGGCUGGACGUGGCAACCCGUGACCAUCAGAGGCCGGACAGGUGAGCCACGAAGUUUUGCAGCCUCGGAGCAGUGGAGCAGCAUGCCGACGGGCCAUCUGUGGAGAUGACACAGGCGUCAGCCAGAUGCCACAAGCAAGGAUGGCCUCAGCAUCCGAUUCUGGAACCAGAAGAUCACUACGAGGAGCCUGGUGAUGGCAGGAACAUCCCGGCGAGGAUGGCUUGUUGAGGAGGAUGGCUGCAGAGCCCUGGCCAUCUGAAAGCUAA